rnacentral:rRNA from 1 species
GAUGAACGCUAGCUACAGGCUUAACACAUGCAAGUCGAGGGGCAGCAUCGCGAUAGCUUGCUAUUGCGGAUGGCGACCGGCGCACGGGUGAGUAACGCGUAUCCAACCUUCCCGCAACUGGGGAAUAACCUUGCGAAAGUAAGACUAAUACCCCAUGGUCUCCACGGAUGGCAUCUGAAAUGGAGUAAAGGUUUCGGCCGGUUGCGGAUGGGGAUGCGUCCGAUUAGCUUGACGGCGGGGUAACGGCCCACCGUGGCAUCGAUCGGUAGGGGUUCUGAGAGGAAGGUCCCCCACAUUGGAACUGAGACACGGUCCAAACUCCUACGGGAGGCAGCAGUGAGGAAUAUUGGUCAAUGGGCGGAAGCCUGAACCAGCCAAGUAGCGUGAAGGACGACUGCCCUAUGGGUUGUAAACUUCUUUUAUGCGGGGAUAAAGUUCGCCACGUGUGGCGUUUUGCAGGUACCGCAUGAAUAAGGACCGGCUAAUUCCGUG